CUUAACUGUUGGGUAACAACCCCUCCAAGCGUCUGCUGCAAGCCUGGCUGUUCAGAACCACACAGCUUCGUUCUAUAGUCAUGUCCCCAAGAAUGUGGCAGAAGCAAGGUCUGAGUAAGGAUCAGAGGAACACUGAGUAAGGAGCAGAGGAACUUUUUGAAUGUGUGGGCCAUGGACUUGGUCCCAUGUCACAGUGUCACACUCUUCUCUCCCCCAUUCCUUGUUGUGGGCUCAUGGCUCUAAUUUCUCAUUCAGUAUUCUGGGAGAAUUCACUAAGCAAAGCCAAACAUAUACAUAAGAUGAUGUGUCCACCAUUGAGAAGAUGAAAUAUCCUCUGCCAACACUGAUGACUACCUGGGACAGUUGGAUAGCAGUGGAGAGGAAGUGGCUGAGAUUCUAUGGAGGGAGACAUACCUGGACCUGAGUCCUGACCUCAA